rnacentral:rRNA from 1 species
UCCGUCGGGGGCUCGCGUUGUCCGGAAUCAUUGGGCGUACAGCGCGUGUAGGCGGCCCGGUAAGUCCGCUGUGAAAGUCGGGGGCUCAACCCUCGGAAGCCGGUGGAUACUGUCGGGCUCGAGUACGGAAGAGGCGAGUGGAAUUCCUGGUGUAGCGGUGAAAUGCGCAGAUAUCAGGAGGAACACCUAUUGCGAAGGCAGCUCGCUGGGACGUUACUGACGCUGAGACGCGAAAGCGUGGGGAGCAAACAGG